UUCCGUAUGGAUCACCAUUGGAGGACUUGUACUUUGGAGUCUCAUGGAGAACACCAACAUGCCACUUCAUUCUUUUUGGUGGAAGUAAAAAUUUCAUCUCUUUUGCAUGCUUGUUUUAUUUUAUUGAUAUCGGCAAGGUGAUUCUAGGGUUUGGAUUCCGACUUGAUAGUUUUAUUUGAUAAAACUAUUGAUUUGUUUAUUUUUAAAAUUUUAAAAAUUAUUUUUUACUGUGUAGUUGGAACCCAAUAGCAACAUAUCAUCACUAUCCAAAAGAUGUAAAAUUUGAUAGAAAUAUCAAAUAUAUCCUUCAGUAGUAAGUUACUGUGCAAUUCAAUCCUUCGAUCAUCCCUGCAUUUCGAAUCUGUUCAUGAGUAUGGAAUUAUGUCAAACUCAACCACAUAUUCAUAUCGAUUUUUCAUCAACCAAUUAUGACUAAUAAUGAAGCAUUAGAAAAUCUUUGUAAUCUUCAUCCUGCUUUUGAUUAAAAGACUUUUUCUGAGUCAUCUAGAGAUGAGCAUUUACAGGAUACUAUCUCCUCUUACGAAGAGUGAUCAACUCAUAACCUUUAUAUACACUCUACCAUAUCUAGAAUAUCCCAUACAUGUCUUAAUGCCAUACUUGAAAAUGAAUCAAAAUAUGGGUUCAUGUGCAUAAGAUUCCAUAGUGAUCUCAGGUCUAAAGAUCACUUAUACAACUCUCACUUAGAGAACCAUCUUUUGAUAUACAAGUAAG
rnacentral:lncRNA from 1 species